CCUACGGGUGGCAGCAGUCGAGAAUCAUUCACAAUGGGGGAAACCCUGAUGGUGCGACGCCGCGUGGGGGAAUGAAGGUCUUCGGAUUGUAAACCCCUGUCAUGUGGGAGCAAAUUAAAAAGAUAGUACCACAAGAGGAAGAGACGGCUAACUCUGUGCCAGCAGCCGCGGUCAUACAGAGGUCUCAAGCGUUGUUCGGAAUCACUGGGCGUGAAGCGUUCGUAGGAUGUUUCGUAAGUCGUGUGUGAAAGGCGCGGGCUCAACCCGUGGAAGGCACAUGAUACUGCGAAACUAGAGUAAUAGUGGAGGUAGGGGGAUUCUGGGGGGUGGAGUGGAAUGGGU
rnacentral:rRNA from 1 species